rnacentral:rRNA from 1 species
GACGAACGCUGGCGGCGUGCUUAACACAUGCAAGUCGAACGAAGAGCGAUGGAAGCUUGCUUCUAUCAAUCUUAGUGGCGAACGGGUGAGUAACGCGUAAUCAACCUGCCCUUCAGAGGGGGACAACAGUUGGAAACGACUGCUAAUACCGCAUACGAUCUAAUCUCGGCAUCGAGGAUGGAUGAAAGGUGGCCUCUAUU